AAAUUGAAGAGUUUGAUCAUGGCUCAGAUUGAACGCUGGCGGCAGGCCUAACACAUGCAAGUCGAACGGUAACAGAAAGCAGCUUGCUGCUUUGCUGACGAGUGGCGGACGGGUGAGUAAUGUCUGGGAAACUGCCUGAUGGAGGGGGAUAACUACUGGAAACGGUAGCUAAUACCGCAUAACGUCGCAAGACCAAA
rnacentral:rRNA from 1 species